UACAUGAAGAUCAUACAUGCUAACAUGAAAAGGUGGCUAGCCUACCAUGGUAUAUUCACAACAUGAUACAAGGAGAAAACAUGCAAAUAGUAUACAAGUGAGUAGUAUACAAGAAAGGAAAAACUCACUAUACAAGUGUAAAAAGGCCUCUUAAGGGCCAUCCAAAUGGUGUGGAGAACCAUUAAGUCUUGAUCACCUCAAGCAAAAGAUCAAGUCACUUCGAGCUCAUGUUCUCCAUCCGCAUCCCCGUAC
rnacentral:lncRNA from 1 species